rnacentral:tRNA from 1 species
AUUUAAGUAGUUUAAUAAAAAUUCUGAUUUGUGGUGUCAGUGAUACAGAUUUAAUUUGUCUUAGAUC